AUGGAGAACAAUAUGAGGGAGGUCUGGGAUGGUGAGAAAAUCAUCACAGGCCACAAAGCUAAGAACAGUACAGAGGGGGGGACUGUGGAGAGGGCAAACCAGGUUAACAUCUUUUUCAACAGGUUUGACCAACCAUCCAGCCAAGGCACCAACAUAAUGGCACCCUCACUUUCACCACCGUCAUGCGAUCCCCCCUUCCCCUCACCACUGGACACCGCUCUCCACCCCUCUUACAAUCUCUCCUCAAACACCCCAGGGGACCCUCCUCCCUGCAUUAUUACUGCUGACCAGGUCAGAGGAGAACUGAGGAAGCUUCGCCCAAAGAAAGCAGCGGGCCCAGAUAAUGUGUGCUCACGCCUGUUGAAGACCUGCGCUGCUGAACUUGGGGAGCCGCUUCAGUACGUCUUCAACCUCAGUCUACAACUAGGGAGAGUGCCCACCCUCUGGAAGACAUCUUGCAUAGUUCCGGUUCAAAAGAAAACCCGACCUAGUGAGCUGAAUGACUUCCGACCGGUGGCACUCACAUCACAUCUGAUGAAGACCCUGGAGCGGCUCCUUCUCAGACACCUCAGGCCUAAGGUGCUGCACGCUCAGGAUCCACUACAGUUUGCCUACCGGACAGGGGUUGGUGUGGAGGAUGCCAUCCUGUAUCUCCUACACCGGGCCCACUCACAUCUGGACAAGGGGGCGGGCACAGUCAGGAUUCUUUUCCUAGACUUCUCUAGUGCCUUCAACACAAUCCAGCCCCUCAUACUACAAAACAAACUGUCAGCUAUGCAAGUUGACCCCCACCUGAUAACUUGGAUCACGAACUACCUCAUAGAUAGACCACAGUUUGUUCGAUUAAAGGACACCACAUCGGACAUCUUAAUCAGCAGCACUGGGGCGCCUCAGGGGACUGUGCUGGCCCCUCUUCUCUUCACCUUAUACACCUCAGACUUCAGCCAUAACUCUGAAUCGUGCCACAUUCAGAAGUAUGCUGACAACACAGCCAUCAUGGGGUGUAUAGGGGGGGACCAAGAGGAGGAGUACCGGACUCUAGUGAGAGACUUUGUCACCUGGAGCCAUGCAAACAGCCUGCAGCUCAACACAUCAAAAACCAAAGAGCUGGUGAUAGACUUUGGGAAGUCAAGGCCACGCCCCCAAGCAGUGGACAUCGAUGGAGUAGAGGUGAAAACCGUGGGCAGCUACAAGUACCUGGGAGUGUGGCUUGACAAAAAACUGGACUGGGCAAUCAACACCGACCACCUCUACAAGAAAGGCCAAAGCAGAAUGUAUUUUUUAAGGAGGCUGCGAUCUUUUAAUAUCUGUAGUAAACUUCUGUCAAUGUUCUACCAGGCUUGA
rnacentral:lncRNA from 1 species